rnacentral:tRNA from 1 species
AGUCGCGUAGCUCAGUUGGUUAGAGCACCACCUUGACAUGGUGGGGGUCGGUGGUUCGAAUCCACUCGCGACUA